rnacentral:rRNA from 1 species
GACGAACGCUGGCGGCGUGCUUAACACAUGCAAGUCGAACGGAAAGGCCCUGCUUUGGUGGGGUGCUCGAGUGGCGAACGGGUGAGUAACACGUGAGUAACCUGCCCUUGACUUUGGGAUAACUUCAGGAAACUGGGGCUAAUACCGGAUAGGAGCUCCUGCUGCAUGGUGGGGGUUGGAAAGUUUCGGCGGGUGGGGAUGGACUCGCGGCUUAUCAGCUUGUUGGUGGGGUAGUGGCUUACCAAGGCUUUGACGGGUAGCCGGCCUGAGAGGGUGACCGGCCACAUUGGGACUGAGAUACGGCCCAGACUCCUACGGGAGGCAGCAGUGGGGAAUAUUGCACAAUGGGCGGAAGCCUGAUGCAGCAACGCCGCGUGCGGGAUGACGGCCUUCGGGUUGUAAACCGCUUUCGCCUGUGACGAAGCGUGAGUGACGGUAAUGGGUAAAGAAGCACCGGCUAACUACGUG